UCAAGAUUUCCUAUUGAUCAAAACGGUUAGUGUUGUACUCGCAUCUCAAAGAUGAAUCUCAUCCCCAUUUGUGAAGUCCUGGCAGUUUGUCCUCUAGAAAGAAUGCAGUGAGAGACUCUCCUACUUCUCUCUAACUUUCCAAAUUCUCAAUUUCCUUUUCCCGCUGUCUUCCACUUCAACCUCUCUCAUUCAAUGCACCAUAAACCAUAAGGUCUCUUCUUGCCGACGACCACUCCCCUCCAAAAACAGAUCCACCAAACACCAAUAUCAUGCAAAUUGAUAAUCCUAAUCCCACAUCUAAAUCAAACUCCUUCCUACAAACACUGAUCUCUAAUACACAACUAUCCCCUUACCCCAGUGCCUAUCAAUCAAUCCAUGAUGAAGUCGAUCUUACAGAUAAAAGCAUCAAUACAAAUAAUUUUGGUACAUUCAUUCCCCUCUCGGUGUCGGUCAAAUCAAGGCUCUAUUCCCAAUAAAAAUUCUCGAUCACUGUUAAAGUUUUUGGCAAAAUAGUUGGAUACUAAUUACUAAAGAAUAAGAUUAUUGUGCCAUAGAAACCUCCAGAGGAUCUACUUUUAAUAGAUCUUGGCUCUAAUUUCUUCCUUAUCAAAUUUGAAGUGGAAGAAAAUAUGCACACAGCUCUACACGGAGGCCCAUGGUUCAUACUAUAUCACUAUCUCUUCGUCAGAAGGAGAGAACCAAAGUUUAUUGCUUCCAAUACGCAACUAGCGUACUCUGAACUUUUGGAAUACUGGAAAUUUGGUCUCCCGUGAUGAAAUCCAACUCAAAAAGGAGUAUUCCAAAGCACAAGGAAAUAAAGGGUACAGAAGCAAAAAUGUACGAUCUGUAGAAGAAAUUGCGGACCGCAGAAUUCCACCUGCGGCUACAACUCAAGCUAAGGAAUCCAACAGGCUUUUGACAAAUGUACGGACCGCACAUGAGUUAAGCGGCUACAAAACAGGGUCUGCACUGACAAGUAAUUCCAAGUUCAGAGAGUAUGCAGAAGACUAAGUCCUGACGCCUUGCUGAAGUGCGGACCACACAUAUCGGUUUAUUAGUAAAAAACCUUCUCCAACUUUUGAACUGUCGAAACAAGAACUUUAUGUGAGAGUUGAAGCCCCAAAAGGAGAAUAAAGAAUUAUGUGAACGCAGAAGUUGCCUUGCAGCCGCAGUCCAGAAAUGUGCGGCUGUAGAAUCUUACUUUCUGCCAACUGAAGGAAUUGUGCGGCCGCAGAACCUCCCGAGGGCCAUUUUUGUUGGCGAUUUUUGGCCCAGUAUAAAUAGACGAGUUUCACAAAUUUAGGUCAAGUUUGAGCAUUCAAAGCUGUUGUAGCCAUUUCUUUUUACAAUUUUAGGAAUUUUUAGAUUA